CAGGGGAAUAGGUUGGGGAGGAGAGGGGAAGGCAGGAGUCUGCUUUCAGGCAGGUUGAAUACAGAAUGCCUGUGGAGCCUCUGAGGAGGAGGCAGCUGGCUGGGCUGAGAUGAGGCGAGAGUGUGGGAGGUGUCAGGGAUGUGGGGCUGGGAGCCAUGGGCCUGACGGGGCCACCUCGGGACAAGCAUAGACAAAGAGGAAGAGGUCAGGGCUGAGCUCCGGGGCUGGCGGGGUUUACAGGCUGGGAAAUGAAGAGAUCAGGAAAGAAGGCGCAGGAGCAGCUGCGAGGGAGGCGGAGAACAGGCAGGAGUCUCCUGACUACAUUGGUCUCACCUGGAUAAUCCAAGACACUCUCCCCGUCUGAAGAUCCCUCAUCAGACUGCAUCUGCAAAGCCCCUUUUGCAGAGCAAAGGAGAAGCGAAUUGUGAUCUAUUCCGUACGAGGGGCUUGGUGCCUGCAGCAACACGGGUGAAUCUCCAGAGAGUGGUGACGAGUUGGAGGAGCCAGUCAAAAAGGAAAGUGCUGUGUGAUUCCAUUUAUAGAAAACUCCAGAAAAUGUGGACUAAUCUACAGUGAUGGAAAGCAGACCCAUGAUUGCCUGGGACAAGGAGCCUUGGGGGUGGAGGGGGGCCAGGGGGAGGAGUUUCAAAGGUGAUGAGGACAUUUUGAGGGUGAUGGAUGUGAUCCCUAUCUUAAUUGUGGCCAUGGCUUCAUGGAUAGAUACAAAUGUCAAAACAUAUUGAACUGUAUACUUUAAAUGCUUGCACUUUACUACAUGCCAAUCACAUCUUCAUAA